GACGAACGCUGGCGGCGUGCUUAACACAUGCAAGUCGAACGGACAGGCCCUGCUUUUGUGGGUUUCUCGAGUGGCGAACGCGUGAGUAAAACAUGUGUAUCCUGCCCCUGACUUUGGGGUAACUUCAGGAAACUGCGGCUCAUAUCGCAGAGGAGCUCCUGAUGCGUGUUGUGCGUUGGUAAGAUCCGGCGUUUGGGGCUGGACUGGAGGGUUAUCAGCUUGUUGGUGGGGUUGUGGCUUACCAGGGCUUUGACGGGUAGCCGGCCUGAGAGGGUGACCGGCCACAUGGGUACUGAGAUACGGACCAGACUCGUACGGGAGGCAGCAGUGGGGAAUAUUGCACAGUGGGCGGGAGCCUGAUGCAGCAACGCCGCGUGCGGAAAGACGGCCUUCGGGUUGUAAACCGCUUUCGCAUGUGACGAAGCGUGAGUGACGGUAAUGGGUAAAGAAGCACCGGCUAACUACGUG
rnacentral:rRNA from 1 species